CGCAAAACGGGGAUUAGAUACCCCGGUAGUCCAGGGUGUAAACGCUGCAGACUUGGUGUUGGAGGCCCUUCGGGGGCAUUCAGUGCCGGAGAGAAGUUGUUAAGUCUGCUACUUGGGGAGUACGUCCGCAAGGAUGAAACUUAAAGGAAUUGGCGGGGGAGCACCGCAACGGGAGGAGCGUGCGGUUUAAUUGGAUUCAACACCGGAAAACUCACCAAGGGCGACUGUUACAUGAAAGCCAGGCUAAUGACCUUGCUUGAUUUUCAGAGAGGUGGUGCAUGGCCGUCGUCAGUUCGUACCGUAAGGCGUUCUCUUAAGUGAG
rnacentral:rRNA from 1 species